rnacentral:tRNA from 1 species
ACCCGGCUGGCUCAGUUGAUGGAGCACGUGACUCUUGAUCUUGGGGUUGUAGGUUCAAGCCCCGUGUUGGGUG